rnacentral:rRNA from 1 species
AGUUCAGAUCGCAGUCUGCAACCCGACUGCGUGAAGUCGGAAUCGCUAGUAAUCGCGGAUCAGCAUGCCGCGGUGAAUACGUUCCCGGGCCUUGUACACACCGCCCGUCACACCAUGAGAGUCGGGAACACCCGAAGUCCGUAGCCUAACCGCGGAGGGGGGCGCGGCCGAAGGUGGGUUCGAUAAUUGGGGUGAAGUCGUAACAAGGUAUC